AGAAUCAACGCUGGCGGCGUGCCUAACACAUGCAAGUCGAACGAGAAAGUGGAGCAAUCCAUGAGUACAGUGGUGACCGGGUGAGUAACACGUGACUACCUACCCUUGAGUGGGGGAUAACCUCGGGAAACCGAGGCUAAUACCGCAUAAUAUCGAGAGAUCAAAGGAGUAAUCCGCUUUUGGAGGGGGUCGCGGCUGAUUAGCUAGUUGGUAGGGUAAUGGCCUACAAAGGCGAAGAUCGGUAUCC
rnacentral:rRNA from 1 species